ensembl:rRNA 5S_rRNA 5S ribosomal RNA
GCCUACGGCCAUCCCACCCUGGUAACGCCCGAUCUCGUCUGAUCUCGGAAGCUAAGCAGGGUCGGGCCUGGUUAGUACUUGGAUGGGAGACCUCCUGGGAAUACCGGGUGCUGUAGGCU